rnacentral:rRNA from 1 species
AAUCAACGCUGGCGGCGUGCCUAACACAUGCAAGUCGAACGCGAAAAUUCCUUCGGGAAUGAGUAGAGUGGGCGUCCGGGUGAGUAACGCGUGGGUAAUCUACCUUCGGGUGGGGAAUAACCCAGGGAAACUUGGGCUAAUACCGCAUAAUGCAGCGGCUCGACAUCGAGAUAGUUGUUAAAGCAGCAAUGCGCCUGAAGAAGAGCCUGCGUCUGAUUAGCUUUGGNGGGUAGGGUAACGGCCUACCAAGGCUGCGAUCAGUAGCUGGUCUGAGAGGACGGCCAGCCACAAUGGCACUGAAACACGGGCCAUACUCCUACGGGAGGC